UGGGGAAUAUUGGACAAUGGGCGAAAGCCUGAUUCAGCCAUGCCGCGUGUGUGAAGAAGGUCUUCGGAUUGUAAAGCACUUUAAGUUGGGAGGAAGGGCAGUAAGCGAAUACCUUGCUGUUUUGACGUUACCGACAGAAUAAGCACCGGCUAACUCUGUGCCAGCAGCCGCGGUAAUACAGAGGGUGCAAGCGUUAAUCGGAAUUACUGGGCGUAAAGCGCGCGUAGGUGGUUCGUUAAGUUGAAUGUGAAAGCCCCGGGCUCAACCUGGGAACUGCAUCCAAAACUGGCGAGCUAGAGUAGGGCAGAGGGUGGUGGAAUUUCCUGUGUAGCGGUGAAAUGCGUAGAUAUAGGAAGGAACACCAGUGGCGAAGGCGACCACCUGGGCUCAUACUGACACUGAGGUGCGAAAGCGUGGGGAGCAAACAGG
rnacentral:rRNA from 1 species